AUUGAACGCUGGCGGCAUGCCUUACACAUGCAAGUCGAACGGCAGCACGGGAGCAAUCCUGGUGGCGAGUGGCGAACGGGUGAGUAAUAUAUCGGAACGUGCCCAGUAGUGGGGGAUAGCCCGGCGAAAGUCGGAUUAAUACCGCAUGAGACCUGAGGGUGAAAGCGGGGGAUCGCAAGACCUCGCGCUAUUGGAGCGGCCGAUAUCAGAUUAGCUAGUUGGUGGGGUAAAGGCCUACCAAGGCAACGAUCUGUAGUUGGUCUGAGAGGACGACCAGCCACACUGGGACUGAGACACGGCCCAGACUCCUACGGGAGGCAGCAGUGGGGAAUUUUGGACAAUGGGGGGCAACCCUGAUCCAGCAAUGCCGCGUGAGUGAAGAAGGCCUUC
rnacentral:rRNA from 1 species